ACAGAGACGUCUGCUUGACCUCACUGGUUUAAACAGUCCAUGGUCACGGUGUGAAAUGUCCUUUAAAAUAUUUUGGGCCCUUGUCGACACUCUUGUGGUAUAGAGAGGGUAGGGAGAGGUGAUCUGAUGGUAUCUCAGCAGUAAAAGUCAAGUGUCUAUAAAAGAGAAAGAAAACAUAUAUUACAAUUGGCCCUGCCCAUGAGUAUAAUGAAUGCAAACUAGUCCGCUUUUGUGACCUAUAAAAGCCAAACCACACGGAGCCUAGAAGUCAGGUGCAAUAGUUGUGCAGUAGUAAUGCAGAUGUGUGAUAUUGGGCAAUAAGACGGAAUUUUACUGACUUGAUACAUACGGUCAUUUCCAAUCACCACAACAAUCUUCAUGUUGAGGUCGGCCUUCUGGGCCACUUCCUGAAGUGCGACAGCAUACGCAAGUAGGUUCGGCGAGGGUUGCUCACCACACCACCAGAGGACCAUGUUAGAAAUGACUUGCAAGAUGUCAUCCUGUUUUACUUUAAGGAUCCUUGGCUUUGGCAGUUGUGAGCAGAGGCAUAAUGAUUUAGAGAGUUCCACUCUGCCAGAGUAGAAGACAGCACCAUGGCACAGAAAUCCAUAGAAAAGGGCAGGGUCUCACCUGGUGACUGCUGGCCUGUGGGGGUGGUCCUGCUGGAUGAGGUGCUGGAAGUACUCCUCCACCACUGAGGCACUCAGGUGCUUCUUCAGGUACGGGUAGAAGAGGGGA